GAAAUGCGAUAAGUAAUGUGAAUUGCAGAAUUCAGUGAAUCAUCGAAUCUUUGAACGCACCUUGCGCUCCUUGGUAUUCCUUGGAGCAUGCCUGUUUAAGUAUCAUGAAAUCUUCAAAGUAAAUCUUUUGUUAACUCAAUUGGUUUCUACUUUGGUAUUGGAGGUCUUUGCAGCUUCACACCUGCUCCUCUUUGUUCAUUAGCUGGAUCUCAGUGUUAUGCUUGGUUCCACUCGGCGUGAUAAGUUAUCUAUCGCUGAGGACACUGUAAAAGGUGGCCAAGGUAAAUGCAGAUGAACCGCUUCUAAUAGUCCAUUGACUUGGACAAUACUUUUAUGAUCUGAUCUCAAAUCAGGUAGGACUACCCGCUGAACUUAAGC
rnacentral:misc_RNA from 1 species